rnacentral:rRNA from 1 species
GACGAACGCUGGCGGCGUGCUUAACACAUGCAAGUCGAACGGAAAGGCCCUGCUUUUGUGGGGUGCUCGAGUGGCGAACGGGUGAGUAACACGUGAGUAACCUGCCCUUGACUUUGGGAUAACUUCAGGAAACUGGGGCUAAUACCGGAUAGGAGCUCCUGCUGCAUGGUGGGGGUUGGAAAGUUUCGGCGGUUGGGGAUGGACUCGCGGCUUAUCAGCUUGUUGGUGGGGUAGUGGCUUACCAAGGCUUUGACGGGUAGCCGGCCUGAGAGGGUGACCGGGCACAAUGGGACUGAGAUAAGGCCCAGACUCCUACGGGAGGCAGCAGUGGGGAAUAUUGCACAAUGGGCGGAAGCCUGAUGCAGCAACGCCGGGUGCGGGAUGACGGCCUUCGGGUUGUAAACCGCUUUCGCCUGGGACGAAGCGUGAGUGACGGUAAUGGGUAAAGAAGCACCGGCUAACUACGUG